rnacentral:rRNA from 1 species
UACAGAGGGGGCAAGCGUUGUUCGGAAUUACUGGGCGUAAAGCGCGCGUAGGCGGCUCGGAAAGUCGGGCGUGAAAUGCCGGGGCUCAACCCCGGGACUGCGUCCGAUACUUCCGAGCUGGAGGUAGGUAGGGGAGAUCGGAAUUCCUGGUGUAGCGGUGAAAUGCGCAGAUAUCAGGAGGAACACCGGUGGCGAAGGCGGCAUCCUGGACCGGCAUGACGCUGAUGAGCGAAAGCCAGGGGAGCAAACGGG